AAGUGGCCAAGUGGGGUAAAGACUUGAUAACUGCCGGCCACGCGUUAGAGCGUUCGCACGGCAGGGCUGCCAGUUCCCACCCACGCCCACCAGAGCCAUCAUUAUACUGCCGCUGGAUCCCACAGCCACCCAACCUUAUCUCCUCUUGCCGUUCAUCUUCCACUCUACCUCCCGAGAAAUUCCUCCCCCUCUCUCCACCAUUCCUCCCCCUCUCUCUCCACCAUCCCUCACCCCAUCGAGCCUCCCCGCCCCGCUGGCCUUCCCCUGCAACUAGCGGGGCCGCAGCCUGCGGCGUGCGGGGCGGCGGCGGCGGCGUACAACGCGGAGCCGCAACGCCUCCCUCACCUCGUCGCGCCUCCCCUCCAUGUCGUCCUUCCCCUGCAGCGCGCAGGGCCGCCGCGGCGGUGUGCCGCGCGAGGGGCCGACGAGGUAGAUACAGAUGGCUCCGAGGAGCGCCUUCUCUGGGGUUGCCGAAGAUGCGGCCGAGGUCGGCGGAUAAUCCGACGGUGAAGACGGCGACAAUGAUUGAGGCCGCGCCCGCAGAGAGGAAGAGCCUGCGACGGCCGAGUGGGGAGGCGGCUAGGGCGAUGCGGUCGGAGAGGUGUCUGACAAGGGGCUGGACGAGGAGGCCGGAGAGCGGGCUGCAGUGCCAGAUGAGGCGUGCGGAGAUGACCAGCUCCUGCACGUAGGGGGUGAGCAGCGACAGCUGCAGCACUCAGCUGAACUGCACCCCGCAUGCCGCCGACGCCGUGCGCAGCAGCUUCUGAAGGGGAGGGAUGGGAAGGGAGGGGAGGGGAUGAAGACAGGGGAGCAAGCAAAGCAAUGCAAGCUGCCCGCGUGCGCCCAAUUUUCAUUUGACCCAAAUACUAAGCUGGGCCUUGAUGUUGCCUCGUGUCUCAUCACAAGCAUUGCAGGUCAUGGUGUGGUCAUGAAGGGAAGCAAAUGUGCAUUCAUCAUUGGUGAAUUGCUUGUGAUGUAUCAUACCAUAGUCUGCAGAUUAGAAUUAACUGUUUGCAUGAUCCGAAUUAGUUAUGAUCAUUGUAUUUGCAGGUCAUAUGGUUGUGUUCAAUAUUUGAAGUUGUAAUGGGUAUAUUAGUUAAGAAAACCAGAUCAGGUUGCUUUUGCACAGAAAACUAUGAGCAAAAUAGCUUGAAGUAUAGAUAAGGCUGCCAGAGUAUCUGUGAGAUGUUGCUUGACCAGAACUAUGAGCAGUUCAGAUGCAGAUAUGCAUGGCGUGCAGUUUCUGAAUUUUUUCUAUGCAAAUUAUGUACACCUCUAUGGAAUAAUUAAAUUUUUUGGAGUA